UGGGCUAUGGUGUAAUGGUAACACUACAGGUUUUGGUUCUGUCAUUAUGGGUUCGAGUCCCGUUGGCCCAACCA
rnacentral:tRNA from 1 species